rnacentral:lncRNA from 7 species
AACAGAUCCCUGGCUUCAGACUUAUUGUCAUGGAUGCUGCCAUUUGUAGAUCACUGCCCUUGGUCACUGGUUCUGACUGGAGGGUCUGAAGCUGGCAUCUGCUGGCCAUUGCUUUGUCCUGUAACACAUAGGUUUUUAGCAAUCUAUGUAACAGAUACAGCUGCACCACAAGCUAGGAGAAACCUAGAGAAGCUAUUCCUUUCUCUUUUCAUCCAUGAACAUAGAAAGUAACUGACUUAGCAAUGGUUGAGAGAGGCUGGGCCAUUUCAUCAACUUUUUAUAAAACUAAGAAGCAUCAAAUAUGGAUCAAAAAUUCAGAGAGAAAUUCUACCAAUGCUACAAGCAAUGUGACUGCCGCCUUAUUCUUUUAAUCACAUUUCUCUCAACUCUGCUAAUUCUGUAAAGUGCAAUAUGGUAUAAAUAGUGAUUUAUUUCUACAUGGCAAUAAGCUGUAUCAAUAAGAUAUAUCAAAUUAAUUUCUUCCUUGCU